CAAUAGCGUAUAUUAAAGUUGUUGCGGCUAAAAAGCUCGUAGUUGGAUCUCAGGGAACCUGGCUCUAGCUGGCCUCAGUUGUCAGUCUAGUGCUCAGGCCCUUACUCUCAGUUGGUCUAGUGUGCUCUUAACUGAGUGUGCUAGUACCAGUGAGACGUUUACUUUGAGGAAAUGAGAGUGCUCAGUGCAGGCUUCCGCCUGAAUCUUAGUGCAUGGAAUAAUGGAACAUGACCUUUGGUCUGUUUCGCUGGUUUUAAGACCAGGUAAUGAUUAAUAGGGACAAACGGGGCCGUUCGUACUGCUGCGUUAGAGGUGAAAUUCUUAGAUCGUAGCAAGACGACCAAAAGCGAAAGCAAUCGGCAAGUAUGUCCUCAUUAAUCAAGAACGAAAGUCGGAGGUU
rnacentral:rRNA from 1 species